rnacentral:rRNA from 1 species
UACAGAGGGGGCAAGCGUUGUUCGGAAUUACUGGGCGUAAAGGGCGCGUAGGCGGCCAACUAAGUCGAACGUGAAAUCCCCGGGCUCAACCCGGGAACUGCGUCCGAUACUGGUUGGCUUGAAUCCGGGAGAGGGAUGCGGAAUUCCAGGUGUAGCGGUGAAAUGCGUAGAUAUCUGGAGGAACACCGGUGGCGAAGGCGGCAUCCUGGACCGGCAUUGACGCUAAAGCGCGAAAGCCAGGGGAGCAAACGGG